GGAUCCCUGGCGUAUGCGCCAGACAGACAGUCCUCGAGCCGAUAAAUGUGUAACCGGAGGUUGCCAGCGGCUGUUGUGUGCAUGUCCGGCCCCGACCGGAAAGCCUGAUGCAGUGCGGGAACCGCCACCUUGAACCAUCGGGUUCAAGGGCAGUGCUGUCAGCGGUAUGCCGGGAAUCCC
rnacentral:other from 1 species